UAUUGAAUAGUAAAAUAUAAAGUCUGCCUGAAAUACAAACAUAAGAUAUUUUCAAAUGAAUCUUCAAAGAUUAUAUUGGAAAGUAAAAAAUCAAGUCAGCUUAGAAAAAGUGAAUAUCGAAAAAUUAGCUGAUUUUCCAAAGCUUAUAUUAAAAACUAGAACAUCAACACAGCCAAGAAAAACUCUUCAAAUCAUGUCAGCUUAGCCUUUGGCCUCUCCCUAAACAUUUUAUUCUUACUUUUGUACCCCAACUAGUAACAUCUAAAUUUAUUUUUGUAGUCUCAAAUUGUGUUUGAGUUUCGGAGCAUUCUAGUGUGUCAAUCAUGUGCUGUGGACCUUGCGGUGGCUGCUGUGGACCAUGUGGACCUUGCUGUGGUGGCGGGGGCUGCUACGGUCCUAAUGUCUGUGGACCGUGUGGUGCAACGGGACCUUGCUUCGGCUGCUGCGGUGGUCCUUGUUGUGGACCCUGCGGUGGCUGUUGCAGUAGCUGUGGCCCUUCUUGCUAAUGGCUUACUGUGAGAGGCAUGCAACUGGUUUAGCAUUGAAUGAAUGAACUGAAUGUAAAACGACGAUUUGAGACGUAAAUUUAUUUAUUGGUAGAAAAAAUAAAUGAACAUCAUGUAAGAAUAGAAAAA